GAAACCAAAAGGGAGGGUUGGGGGGGUGUCUAGUGUUGGUGGCGGCUCUGGUGCAGGACGAAGAACGUUCUCAUCCUGCGGAUCCACCAGCAUUGGAGGCGGCUCUAGUGCAGGACGAAGAACCCUCUCAUCCUGCGGAUCCGCCAACAUUGGAGGCGUCUCUCUUUCGGGGGUCGUCGCCAAAAGCUCUGGACCGUGGCUCCGGACUGCCGACCCGCCACUGGAGGCUCCGGACUGCCGAACACCACUAGAGGCUCCGGACUGCCGACCACCACUAGAGGCUCCGGACUGCAGACCGCCGCUGCAGGCUCCGGACUGCGGACCGCCGCUGCAGGCUCCGGACUGGGGACCGCCGCUGCAGGCUCCGGACUGCGGACCGCCGCUGCAGGCUCCGGACUGGGGACCGCCGCUGCAGGCUCCGGACUGCGGACCGCCGCUGCAGGCUCCAGACUGCGGACCAUUGCUGCAGGCUCCAGAUUGGGGACCGUCGCUGCAGGCUCCGUGCCAUGGAUCAUCACUACAGGCUCCGGGCCAUGGAUCAUCACUGGAGGCUUCGUGCCAUGGAUUAUUUUAUUUUAUUUUUUAUUUUUUUAUUUCACCUUUAUUUAACCAGGUAGGCAAGUUGAGAACAAGUUCUCAUUUACAACUGCGACCUGGCCAAGAUAAAGCAAAGCAGUUCGACUACAUACAACAACACAGAGUUACACAUGGAGUAAAACAAACAUAGUCAAUAAUACAGUAGAAAAAUAAGUCUAUAUACAAUGUGAGCAAAUGAGGUGAGAUAGGGAGGUAAAGGCAAAAAAAAGGCCAUGGUGGCAAAGUAAAUACAAUAUAGCAAGUAAAACACUGGAAUGGUAGAUUUGUAGUAGAAGAAACCGUGAAGAAAAGUAGAAAUAGAAAUAAUGGGGUGCAAAGGAGCAAAAUAAAUAAAUAAAUAAAUACAAUAGGGGAAGAGGUAGUUGUUUGGGCUAAAUUAUAGAUGGGAUAUGUACAGGUGCAGUGAUCUGUGAGCUGCUCUGACAGCUGGUGCUUAAAGCUAGUGAGGGAGAUAAGUGUUUCUAGUUUCACAGAUUUUUGUAGUUCGUUCUAGUCAUUGGCAGCAGAGAACUGGAAGGAGAGACGGCCAAAGGAGGAAUUGGCUUUGGGGAUGACCAGAGAGAUAUACCUGCUGGAGCUGGAGUGCCAGGAUGGUCAGUUUUACGAGGGUAUGUUUGGCAGCAUGAGUGAAGGAUGCUUUGUUGCGAAAUAGGAAGCCAAUUCUAGAUGUAAUUUUGGAUUGGAGAUGUUUGAUGUGAGUCUGGAAGGAGAGUUUACAGUCUAACCAGACACCUAUGUAUUU
rnacentral:lncRNA from 1 species